rnacentral:lncRNA from 1 species
GCCUGUAUUGGGUAAAUGAAGCACUUGACUGGGUUGAGAAAGACAAAAGCAAUAAUAUAAUAGAUUUAUUUUAAUAUGAAUGUUGUACAAAGAAAAAAUAAAGGUAUUAGUAUCAAAUAACAUCAUCAAUCAUUUUACUUUUCCCUAAAAUAGAAAAAAAAUCUCACCCUUAAUAAGAAAUUCAUUAUUCCACAAAAAUAUAUUUCCAUAGAACAAAGUAAAAAUCUAUCUAUUACAGAAAAGAAAUUGUCCAUUUAGACAUUAGCUGUAAGAGUCAUUCAAAUGCAAAAUAGAUGGCAGUUUUUAAAUGUAUGAUUUGACAUUUUUCUGUCAGUUUCAUUAGAAUGGAGUUAACAAUAUUGUAUUUUAAGCUUCGUCGGUAUCAAUUGGUGAUUUGAUGGACGCAAAUACCUGUUUACUUCCAUUAAGUCACUAAUUGCUGCAGUCUGAGCUUAAAAUACAAUACAGGGCACUGUGGAAUUGCUAAUAGAUUUACUUCAUAACAAUACAUGGGUUCUCAAAUUAACCUUUAUGUUUAAAUCUUUAUGAAAGAAAGAAAUAUUUAUCAGUGAAAUUUUACUGUGGCUGCGUUUUUCAAAACCUUUCAUAAAAAAUUUAAUUCAUUUCAUUUUGAUUUUUCAUAGAAACAAACAAUUUCCGAUGGCUUAAAUUUUGAAUAUAGCAUUCUGAUUAUAAACUGCACACAAUUUUGAGUUCUAAAUUUAGUUAUAUGGACAGAACAAUCAAGAUGUCAAUGAGCAUAGAUAGUCUUCAAAACGUUUUGUUGAAACAGUUCAGUACUUACUUAUUGAGGUUUUAAACGACCAUGACAUGCUAUAAAGCCCUUGCAAGAUCGGUAAACAAUUCAGGAAGAUUUUAGAUAAACAUUUACUCAGUACUCAGUAGACAUAUGCAUUAACAAAGUGAACUAAGAACGCCCUCCCGCCAAAAAUUGGGGAAAAUGCUUGAGAAAUGUUAAUCUGUAACCUCUUUAAGUUAAAUUAAUUCUAUUUUUUAGAUAGUUUUAAGCAGUUAUAGUUUAAUAUUACUGUUUCAUAUAUAAUAUACUAUUUCAAAGAGAAGAUAAUUAAAAACCUGCAGUCCCAGUUACGACUUAAUAUUUCUGACAAUAUGAGAUAAAUGAUAUAUUAAUUUUGAUGGUGUCCAAAAUUUGUUACAUGAUUUUCCAUUGAUUGUUGCCAAUAAAAUAUUUUAAUAAAAGGAGUUUACAAAGAUCAAGGUACAUUAACUUGGAAAUUAAUGAAAUGUUUAAAUUGGAAUUGCACUGUUUUUGUAGAAAUGUAUUUUGAUAUAUUCAAUAGACACAAUUUUUCAUAAGUUUGUUAGUCACAAUUUACCAAUAACUCAUAUAUAAAUGUUUUGAAUUUAAACACAAUUAAUGGAAUCAAUUCUAGGCUGUUUCAGAUUAUGUUUUGGAGUCAGUUAAAUUAACCAUGUAUUUUGAAGAAUAUGAAUUUAUAUCACUUAAAUUGAGUACAUUUAUAUGUAGGUUUAUUAAGCAUGCUUAUAUUCCUUACUCUGAAUUAGUGCAAAGUUUUUUUAGUGUUAUUUUUAUGAAAUUAUGGUAAUCAGAACUAUGGAAAUCUUGUUUUCACAUAGUUAUUAAAUGGUGUAUAUUUAAUAAAAUAAAAAGAUGUAUUACAAGUUACAACCUAAGCAUACACAACCCUUAGAAUAUAAUGUUUAAUCACUUUAGUGACAAAACUUUUAAAGAUUAUAGAAACAAAGCAUUAAAUAAGUAAAGAAAAUUUAUAUAUUUUCACGACUCUGAAAUUAAGUCUUUAAAUAAAGUAUGAAAAUUAUUGUUAAUAUUAAGCUUUUCAGCAUGACUUAGUUUGUAUUGACAGUGGGUGUAUUUGUAUUUUCAGAAAUGUGGUGAGAUUAAUGUAUCCCUCCUUCACGUACCAUCUAACCUUACUAAUUGAGUGCCUUUACUUUACAGGGGUGUUAAGAAAACUUUGUAUUUUCAGUGGUAAAUGUAUUUUAUUCAAUGAAAUUAUUCUAGCAGGAAGAACAAUAGAAAAUAUAUAAUGAUUUAAUUUAAUAAUUACUGUAUUAAUUGAUGUUUUGUGUCAGAAAAAAAUAAAAUUUCCAUAGGUUUGGAUUAAAAACAAUGCACUACAAAAAUGCAAGUAAUUUGC